rnacentral:rRNA from 1 species
UCCUACGGGAGGCAGCAGCAAGGAAUUUUCCACAAUGGGCGCAAGCCUGAUGGAGCAACGCCGCGUGGGGGAUGACGCACUUCGGUGUGUAAACCCCUUUUCGAGGGGACGAAGGCAAUGACGGUACCCUCGGAAGAAGGAUCGGCUAACUACGUGCCAGCAGCCGCGGUAAGACGUAGGAUCCGAGCGUUGUCCGGAGUUACUGGGCGUAAAGCGCGCGCAGGCGGACACGCGCAUCGGCGGUGAAAGCCCCCCGCUCAACGGGGGAGGGUCCGUCGAGAUGGCGUGUCUGGAGGCAGGGAGAGGCCAGUGGAAUUCCGGGUGUAGUGGUGAAAUGCGUAGAGAUCCGGAGGAACACCAGUGGCGAAGGCGGCUGGCUGGACCUGACCUGACGCUGAGGCGCGAAGGCGUGGGGAGCGAACGGGAUUAGAUACCCCGGUAGUCCACGCAGUAAACGAUGGGUACUAGGUGUGGCGGGAGUUGACCCCUGCCGUGCCGGCGCUAACGCAGUAAGUACCCCGCCUGGGGAGUACGGCCGCAAGGCUAAAACUCAAAGGAAUUGACGGGGGCCCGCACAAGCAGCGGAGCGUGUGGUUUAAUUCGACGCAACGCGCAACACCUUACCAGGGCUUGACAUCCGCGGAACCUGCCUGAAAGGGCGGGGUGCUUCGGGAGCCGCGAGACAGGUGCUGCAUGGCUGUCGUCAGCUCGUGUCGUGAGAUGUUGGGUUAAGUCCCGCAACGAGCGCAACCCCCGUGGCUAGUUACGAGGUGUGUCUAGCCAGACUGCCGGAACCAAACCGGAGGAAGGUGGGGAUGAUGUCAAGUCAGCAUGGCCCUUACGCCCUGGGCGACACACACGCUACAAUGGCCGGGACAAUGGGCAGCCAAGCGGUAACGCGGAGCCAAUCCCACAAACCCGGUCUCAGUUCAGAUCGUGGGCUGCAACUCGCCCACGUGAAGGCGGAGUUGCUAGUAACCGCCGGUCAGCAUUACGGCGGUGAAUAUGUUCCCGGGCCUUGUACACACCGCCAA